GCCCAGUGUGCUCUCCUCCCUCUCCUGGGACUUCCUUGUCUGCAGGGGCUCUGGGGCCUGCAGCUCCCAGGGGCUGGGCUUCUGAAGUUCAAGGCCCCUGAGAGCAGGUGGUAGAACAGGAACCUGGGCGAGUUAGUAAGCCAAGUCACUGGCCCAGGCCUGUCUCUGCCUCUGCUUCCCUGACGGUUAGCAGGGCUUUCUCUCUCCUUCCAGAGACACCCCAAGUGGCCCUGGCUUGUUCCCCUUUCUUCCUGGGCCCUCACUUCUGGGCUACUCCUCCCUGCCUCUGCUGCACCCCACUCCCCAGGCUGGUGGAGGAGAGCUUAUGUCCCAGGACCCCUGCUGAAUGUGUCCUUCCUGCAGAAGCCGUCCCCCACUCCAGCUUCUCAGAGAGGGUCGCUGCCUGCCCCAGCCUGGCCCUGGUGGGAGAUAGCUGGGCUUAUCUCUGGCUAGAUGGAGAUGUCCGGAGAACACUGAACACCCGCAGGGGAUUUUGUCUCUGCUGGAACCGCAAGGGCCUCUUACCCUGGAGGAGCU
rnacentral:lncRNA from 1 species